GGGCGAUUAGCUCAGCGGGAGAGCACCUCGUUCACACCGAGGGGGUCACUGGUUCAAUCCCAGUAUCGCCCA
rnacentral:tRNA from 2 species